CCUACGGGUGGCAGCAGUGGGGAAUAUUGCACAAUGGGGGAAACCCUGAUGCAGCGACGCCGCGUGAGUGAAGAAGUACUUCGGUAUGUAAAGCUCUAUCAGCAGGGAAGAAAUAGCGACCUUUGUGUCGCCAGACGGUACCUGAUUAAGAAGCCCCGGCUAACUACGGCCCAGCAGCCGCGGUAAUUCGUAGGGGGCAAGCGUUAUCCGGAUUUACUGGGUGUAAAGGGAGCGUAGACGGCAGCGCAAGGCGGAAGUGAAAUGCCGGGGCUUAACCGCGGAACUGCUUGGGAAACUGUGCAGCUAGAGUGCAGGAGAGGUAAGUGGAAUUCCUAGUGUAGCGGUGAAAUGCGUAGAUAUUAGGAGGAACACCAGUGGCGAAGGCGGCUUACUGGACUGUAACUGACGUUGAGGCUCGAAAGCGUGGGGAGCAAACAGGAUUAGAUACCCGAGUAGUC
rnacentral:rRNA from 1 species